rnacentral:rRNA from 1 species
UACGAAGGGGGCUAGCGUUGUUCGGAAUCACUGGGCGUAAAGGGUGCGUAGGCGGGCCUUUAAGUCAGGGGUGAAAUCCUGGAGCUCAACUCCAGAACUGCCUUUGAUACUGAGGAUCUUGAGUUCGGGAGAGGUGAGUGGAACUGCGAGUGUAGAGGUGAAAUUCGUAGAUAUUCGCAAGAACACCAGUGGCGAAGGCGGCUUACUGGUCCGGAACUGACGCUGAGGUGCGAAAGCGUGGGGAGCAAACAGG